CUCUAAUAGGCUUUUUUCCUCUUGUGACAUUUUCCUCUCUCUGUGUCCUGUCCUGGUUUUCCAAUUGCACAUAUGUAACUGCUGGACAUGGUCCUGAGUGCAGAGCUGGGGAGCAAAGGAGUAUUCACAGCCAGCUCAGAAUAUGAGGAAUGGCAAACAGCAUUGGAUCCUAGCAGACAGUGAAUCGUCGUUGCAGUUUCUUGACUGCGGAUGUCCCAGCCCGAGACUUUCAGAAACCCCAUUCCUGCAUCAGGGAAGUCUCCUGUCCUUUAAUGGGGUGCUUGUAUCUACACAAGAAAAGAGCCUGUCACUAGAAAGCUAGAUGCCAGGAAUACUCUCUUCCUUAUCGUGAAUGAUUCCCAGGCUUUCCACCUGCCAGGACAUUUGGGACCAGGUGAAACUGUGGAAAGGUGCUCUGAGGAAUUCCCUUCCUUUUAAAAACCUCAAGAUCCUGCUUAGUUCACUACAAUUUGGUCUCACUGCCAAUAAUGAAAUUAUGCAACAAUUGUAGAAAAUCUUCCCCGGGACGAAGACUCUGCAUUGUGAUUUAUUUGUGUUUUCUCUAAUCUUUACCACAAACACAUCGCAUUAGUAACCUUACUCCCAACAUGUAGAGCUGAGCGGAGGCCACGGGGACCAUGUUGGGUUUAUACCGCUAACAGAGGCUAAGAGAGGACGGCCCCAGAAAUCAAGCUCAACUCUUCCUGUUGACAAAACCCAGACUCUUCCCAGUAUCUUUCACAAAACCCUAAAGGCUGGAAGCCUUUCCAUGUUGAUAUUCCUCAUUAUAUGCUUUUAUUCCCAGCUAAGUAGCCAUUAAGUCAAUAAAUAUGAAAAAAAAAAAAAAAGCCCAUGAUGUAGCACAUUUUAGUCAUAAGGCCGCGGAAACUAGAGAUAAAACCUCUCACUUCAUACUCAUGGAAAAAUAAGUUCAGUGGAUCGUCCAACAUCCUAGAGGAGUCCAGGGGCAGGGGCAGGACUGGAACCCCAUUUUCUUGACACCAAAUCCAUUGUUUUCUCCCUCCGAGUAACAGGGCCCCCAGAGACGCGUCUUCUUUCUUCUUUACCGUCGGCUACCAGGUCAAGUUUGAACUUCCAUUGGCUUCCACACUUAGAAACGAUAUUUCACAUCCAUCCACAGCCACCACCUCUCCUGAAAUAAAGGGAAAAAAUAAAAAGGAAUUGGAGACUACUCUUCAGAGACUGUAAAUUUCCAUGGAAGCAUUAACACAAUCUAUUAGGUCACAUUAUCCUCAAUUGUGCAGAGGGAGGAAGCCUACUCCACAACGUGAUUUCACGGCGUUUUGAUGUGCGAUUUGCCCGACACGAUGAUGAACGCGAGGACUGAGUGAUGGGGGGCAUGCGAAGCCUACAGCUCUCCUGCGAGGUUUACUUCCCAGGCUUAAAUGAGCUCAGCGCUCACGAACGAUUUGCCUUGACACUGGAAUCCAAUUGGAGUCUGGAAUUACUGUAACUGUUUUCGGCUUGGGUGAUUUAAUCAGCAAAUCUUCAAUAGUGUAAUAUGCAUGUACCGAACGGAUUCCAGACUGAACAGUCUGAUUUACACACGCUCCUUGCAGACAGC
rnacentral:lncRNA from 1 species